UGUUCAGUAUUCGCAUUCUUCAUUACCGCAGUCGCGACUCUGAUUUCUUCAUGAGCGGUUAUUAGUAAGUUCUUGUUCGACCGAAAUUUAAUAUUCAUUCCAAAUACUUUGCGAUUGAGAACUUUGAGCUCAAGAACAAUUGGGUGAUUGGAAUUUUGAAUAGGAAGCACGAGAUUAGAAACCUCCAUUUCUCAACUAGUUCUUCUUGGAGUUGGAAGAGUAGGAGGUUACCCGUCAUAAUUAUCCGUUGAUUUCACCUAUUUGAGUUGUGUUCGGACACUACAACAACAACAAUAUAUGGGGUCUGGGGAGGUUAGUGUGUAUGCUGACCUUACCCUACUUUGGAAAGAUAGAGAGGCUGUUUCUAUAACAGUUGUGUUCGGACACUGACAAUAUUAAUAGAUGCCUGCUACCUUCCACCAGCAACACGUGUACUUAGAAACCAACUAGUGUUUUUUCCUCGGGUAGAAUUUGGAGUUUGCAACCACAUACUUCUAGGCUACACCUAUUGAUGUUGGAUUUUCAAGCAUAUUCUUGUGUCUAAUUGAUAUGGGCACCUUGGGUAAGAAUUAUUAUGGUGACAUUGAUCUAGUGAUGAUUGACCUAUGGAUUGAGUAUGGAGAAAUUGUAAGGAAUUUCAUUGAGAAUAACUAUGAAAAGCAUAGUCGAGGAAACCUUGAGUUAGCCAAGACUUCAGUUAACGUGCAUUGUGAUUUCCUAUUACUUGAAUUGAUUAAAAUAUGAAGUUGGUAACUCUAAACUAUGUGUUGCUUUACACUUCAUUGACGAAUUGAAUUAUUUUGUUGAUCGGAAGUUGGAUUUUAGUUGCACCCAAGGCAGUGGCCUAGUGGUUAAUGAAGUAGGAGGAGAACUACGAGAAACCAUUUCAAAUCCAGCGGAGGCGAAAAUACUAUGUGAUUCAUUUCCAUCUUCCAAAGCUUAGGUGGCCAGAGUUACUUAGGCGACCACGCUAGAAGUCCACAAUCGCGGAGUGCCAUUAAAAGCUCUUCACCGCGAUAGCGCCACUCAUAUCGUGAUCACUGGAGUUGGUGAAAUAGUUGAGGUGCAUGCAAGUUGAUCCAGACGCGACGUCAUAAAAUAUCAUUAGAGUUAAUUGGCGGUGGAGGUGAGCGAUGACUUGAACUAUGACUUUUUUUUAUAAGGCAAUGAAGGUGAGCAAUGGCUUGAACUAUGACUUAUUUUUUCAUAAACAAGCAUGAUCAGGAAAUUUAAUUCGGCAUUUAUUUUCAAUGAUUUGAGUUUUUCUAUAAAGAUAUAUGCAAUUGAUAUACUCUGGCAUGUUGGGGAAAGUUUGAGAUUCAUAAGCUGAUACUGUUGAUAUGAUAUGAACUUAUGCGUUUUGAGAUUACUACUGUAUGUUUUCCUAUUUCAUAGAGUUAUAUUUAGUUGAUGUUAAUUGCGUAUUAACUUUAAAUAUGACUCGUGAUGAAAUUGGACAUCAAGGUGAGUCACUAUGUAUAUGGUGGCACGGUGUAUACUAAGUGUUUCCCCAGUUAGUAGGAGGGUGAUAUUUUCAAUCCAAGUAGGCUGGUUUUUAUUGCUCUCAGGUGUAGAGCUUUUCCUUUUACUAGUUUGGACAGUAUAGAUUUUCCCUUUUAAAGAAGGUAGUAUACCUGAUAUUAAGGUAGUAUAUCAAAGAUCUUGAGCAGCAUCAGGUGUUCAGAAAACAGGAUAGCGAUGAUUCAAAUCCCAUUCCUUUUGAUUGAGUCUCUCACGGAUAACAACAGUUUCAUUCUUUUUGUAACCUGAUAUAGCUUUAAACACUUAAAUCUACCCUAUACCUUUAAUAACAUGCAUGACACUUGUAGCUGAAUGCCAACUUGCUAACUCCUGAAGAUCACAAAGAUGAAGGAACUCCGACCAAAAUUGUCAACCAUUGCAGUGGUAUCAGGGCGAGGUUCAAGACAGGAUCAUCUUAGCGGGUUCAGUUCUAGCUGCAACAUAUUUGACGAUAAUCAUGAUUUUUAUUUGAGAAAUUUGACCGGUGUGCUACGCACGUUGAGACAAACUUUGUGAUGGAGAUUUGGAGAUGCGACCCUGUUGAAGGCUACAUGAAGAAGGUGGAUUAAGUUUAUUUUGUUAGAAAAUUCAAGCCAAGGGGAAAAAUUGUUAGGUGUUUGUCCAGAUUUUCUUACCAUAUUUGGUUUUCCUAUCUCAUCAU